rnacentral:rRNA from 1 species
UACGGAGGGUGCAAGCGUUAUCCGGAUUCACUGGGUUUAAAGGGUGCGUAGGUGGCUUUGUAAGUCAGUGGUGAAAUCUUAGAGCUUAACUCUAAAACUGCCAUUGAUACUGCUUAGCUUGAAUCAAGUAGAGGUGGAUGGAAUAUUACAUGUAGCGGUGAAAUGCUUAGAUAUGUAAUAGAACACCGAUUGCGAAGGCAGCUGGCUACGCAUAUAUUGACACUGAGGCUCGAAAGCGUGGGGAUCAAACAGG